rfam:Picea glauca, whole genome shotgun sequence.
UGACCCCAGCUCAGGCGAGAACACCCGCUGAGUUUAAGCAUAUAAUUAAUUGGAGGAAAAGAAACUUACAAGGAUUCCCCUAGUAACGGCGAGCGAACCAAGAAGAGCCCAGCAUGAAAAUCGGGUGGCAGCGUCGCCUGAAUUGUAGUCUGUAGAAGCGUCCUUAGCGGCGGAACGGGCCCAAGUCCCCUGGAAGGGGGCACCUGAGAGGGUGACAGCCCCGUCGGGCCUGGACCCUGCCACACCACGAGGCGUUGUCGGGGAGUCGGGUUGUUUGGGAAUGCAGCCCUAAUCGGGUGGUAAAUUCCGUCCAAGGAUAAAUACGGGCGAGAGACCGAUAGCGAACAAGUACCGCGAGGGAAAGAUGAAA